CAUCCUCAAACUGGGAUCAAGAGGAGAUGGAGUCACAUUUGAACAGGCAAGCACUGAACCCCUGGGAUGUAGCUGGUGGGUUAAAGCCCACUCAUGACAAUUUUGUAGAUAGAUACCUCCGAGAGAAGGUGGAAGAUGAAGCUCCAAGGCAGAACUACAUCAGUACUCUCAAUCAGGCCCUGGAGGACAACCCCUACUGGGUUGGACAUAAUCAGCUUUUCUACCAGGUGUUGAGCCCUGUGACAGCAGAAGGAGGGCUCAGAGCCACGGCCAGAAAAGCUGAGCAACGUCUAAACAGGAACUGGGAUUUUCUCUCUGACCCAUUGGCUCAGAGCCACCUCGCUGAGAGCAGCAGGGGAGAGGCCAUGGCUGAAGAGAAGCAUUCCUCUCAAGGCGGGCACCUCCUGAUCAUGCCUGCCACCACAGACACACAGGGGAAGCAACAGGAGGAAGGGUCAAUGUUCAUAAAAAAAUCUGGGAGACCCCAAGGCCCAGAUCUUGCACUGGUUCCAGGUGAGCUCUUGAAUACCACAGUCCAUCAUCACCUGCACUUGCUGGAGCCAGACGAAGGCCUGUGGGCGUUCAUGGGCCAUGUGGAGCAAGCCCUGAGGACUGGCUGCAGCCUGCCCCAGAUCAAGCAGGCCUGUGCCAGGACAUUCUCAAAGAUUGGGCUACUUCUAAAGGAGCUCAGUGAGAGGCAAGAGACCCAGGGAGCCUCUGAUCGCAUGGGCCAGUGUCCCCUGCAAGACAACAUCUCCAGACGCACAGCUUUGCAGGAUCAGGAGCCCGCAGAAAAGCCAAGGCCAGAGACUGUGGAUGACACGAUCACAUUUGUGGUUUUGCUGUCUCUCAUCGCAAUCAUUUUGCUGAUACUGAAGUGUGUCUUCCACGUGUGUUCCCGAUGUGCUGCAGCUAUUUGCCGACAGCUACCCAGCUGGAAAUCGUGGCUGAGAAGGCUGUCUAUAAAACUGAAACAGAGAUGGAGGAAGAACAAGUACAGGGAUGUAGAGGAUGCAGAGCAGGACCUGCCUGAGCUCAGUGAAGCUGAAUUGCUGGUGGUUCAAUACAUCAUGGAUGUCCUUGAUAAAGAGGAAGAAGAAUUGCAGAAACAAAUGCAGAAAGAGAAUACAGAUGUCUCACAAGAAGAGAUACAACAUGAAGAACUUGAGUGAGGGGAAGAUGGAUGCCAACACUUCUUCUCCAGCUCCUGCACCCAUACAGGAGUUGCGGAAGCUUUCCUUUGAUUCUAAUCCUUGAUCCUUGGAUCCCAGUUCUUGCCUUGGAGGCUAUUUCCUUAGCUAUUUCCAUACUGAUAUUUCUUUAACUCUCAUUGAAUGAUACUUCCUUCACAGUUCUUUCCUUGGAUAUUAUUCCUAAUAAAUGCUGGUUUUGUGCAGCCA
rnacentral:lncRNA from 1 species